UACGUAGGGGGCUAGCGUUGUCCGGAUUUAUUGGGCGUAAAGAGCGUGUAGGCGGCCAGGUAGGUCUGCUGUGAAAACUCGAGGCUCAACCUCGAGACGUCGGCGGAAACCAUCUGGCUAGAGUCCGGAAGAGGAGAGUGGAAUUCCUGGUGUAGCGGUGAAAUGCGCAGAUAUCUGGAAGAACACCAGUGGCGAAGGCGGCUCUCUGGGACGGUACUGACGCUGAGACGCGAAAGCGUGGGGAGCGAACAGG
rnacentral:rRNA from 1 species